CUUCCAACCCUGAUAUUCUAUGAUUCUAUGAGCUGCAGAAUGCCUACCGCAAAGCCCGCGAGGCAAACAGCCACUCUGGUGCUGCCCCUGCGACCUGUCGUUUUUACAAAGAGCUGGAUGCGAUCCUUGGGGGUUACCCCACCUCCACUCA